rnacentral:lncRNA from 1 species
UUUGGCACACGGAGGCCGCCCGCAAAGUCUGGGGCCAUUCCGAGUCCGGCGGACGAACUUCGCCCACGCCCCACGCCAAGGCUAUAGCCCACCCGUUUCUUGGCCAUUUUUCCGCUGGGGGGUCUUGGCAGCCCGACCUUCGGGAGCUAAUUUUUGGUCACGGCUGUGCCCGUGGCCUAUUUUUCGCACACGGAGGCCGCCCGCAAAGUCUGGGGCCAUUCCGAGUCCGGCGGACGAACUUCGCCCACGCCCCCCACCAAGGCUAUAGCCCACCCGUUUUUUGGCCAUUUUUCCGCUGGGGGGUCUUGGCGCCCCGACCUUCGGGGGCUAAUUUUUGGGCGCGGCUGUGCCCGUGGCCUAUUUUUGGCACACGGAGGCCGCCCGCAAAGUCUGGGGCCAUUCCGAGUCCGGCGGACGAACUUCGCCCACGCCCCCAACCAGGCUAUAGCCCACCCGUUUUUUGGCCAUUUUUCCGCUGGGGGGUCUUGGCGCCCCGACCUUCGGGGGCUAAUUUUUGGGCGCGGCUGUGACCGUGGCCUAUUUUUGGCACACGGAGGCCGCCCGCAAAGUCUGGGGCCAUUCCGAGUCCGGCGGACGAACUUCGCCCACGCCCCCAACGAGGCUAUAGCCCACCCGUUUUUUGGCCAUUUUUCCGCUGGGGGGUCUUGGCAGCCCGACCUUCGGGGGCUAAUUUUUUGGCGCGGCUGUGCCCGUGGCGUAUUUUUGGCACAAGGAGGCCGCCCGCAAAGUCUGGGGCCAUUCCGAUUCCGGCGAGCGAACUUCGCCCACGCCCCCAACAAGGCUAUAGCCCACCCGUUUUUUGGCCAUUUUUCCGCUGGGGUGUCUUGGCGGCCCAACCUUCGGGGGCUAAUUUUUGGGCGCGGCUGUGCCCGUGGCCUAUUUUUGGCACACGGAGGCCGCCCGCAAAUUCUGGGGCCAUUCCGAGUCCGGCGGACGAACUUCGCCCACGCCCCCAACCAGGCUAUAGCCCACCCGUUUUUUGGCCAUUUUUCCGCUGGGGGGUCUUGGCGCCCCGACCUUCGGGGGCUAAUUUUUGGGCACGGCUGUGACCGUGGCCUAUUUUUGGCACACGGAGGCCGCCCGCAAAGUCUGGGGCCAUUCCGAGUCCGGCGGACGAACUUCGCCCACGCCCCCCGCCAAGGCUAUAGCCCACCCGUUUUUUGGCCAUUUUUCCGCGUGGGGGGUCUGGGCACCCCGACCUUCGGGGGCUAAUUUUUGGCCACGGCUGUGCCCGUGGCCUAUUUUUGGCACACGGAGUCCGCCCGCAAAGUUAGGGACCAUUCCGAGUCGGGCGGAGGAGCUUCCCUCACCCCCCCAACAAGGCUAUAGACCACCCGUAUUUUGACCAUUUUUCAGCUGGGGGGUCUUGGCCCCCCCGACCUUCGGGAGUUAAUUUUUGGGCGCGGCUGUGCCCGUGGCAUAUUUUUGGCACACGGAGGCCGUCCGCAAAGUCUGGGGCCAUUCCGAGUCCGGCGGACGAACUUCGCCCACGCCCCCCACCAAGGCUAUAGCCCACCCGUUUUUUGGCCAUUUUUCCGCUGAGGGUUCUUGGCGCCCCGACCUUCGGGGGCUAAUUUUUGGGCGCGGCUGUGCCCGUGGCCUAUUUUUGGCACACGGAGGCCGCCCGCAAAGUCUGGGGCCAUUCCGAGUCCGGCGGACGAACUUCGCCCACGCCCCCCGCCAAGGCUAUAGCCCACCCGUUUUUUGGCCAUUUUCCGCUGGGGGGUCUAGGCGCCCCGACCUUCGGGGGCUAAUUUUUGGGCGCGGCAGUGCCCGUGGCCUAUUUUUGGCACACGGAGGCCGCCCGCAAAGUCUGGGGCCAUUCCGAGUCCGGCGGACGAACUUCGCCCACGCCCCCCGCCAAGGCUAUAGCCCACCCGUUUUUUGGCCAUUUUUCCGCUGGGGGGUCUUGGCACCCCGACCUUCGGGGGCUAAUUUUUGGGCGCGGCUGUGCCCGUGGCCUAUUUUUGGCACACGGAGGCCGCCCGCAAAGUCUGGGGCCAUUCCGAGUCCGGCGGAUGAACUUCGCCCACGACCCCAACCAGGCUAUAGCCCACCCGUUUUUUGGCCAUUUUUCCGCUGGGGGGUCUUGGCGCCCCGACCUUCGGGGGCUAAUUUUUGGGCGCGGCAGUGCCCGUGGCCUAUUUUUGGCACACGGAGGCCGCCCGCAAAGUCUGGGGCCAUUCCGAGUCCGGCGGACGAACUUCGCCCACGCCCCCCGCCAAGGCUAUAGCCCACCCGUUUUUUGGCCAUUUUUCCGCUGGAGGGUCUUGGCGCCCCGACCUUUGGGGGCUAAUUUUUGGGCACGGCUGUGCCCGUGGCCUAUUUUUGGCACACGGAGGCCGCCCGCAAAGUCUGGGGCCAUUCCGAGUCCGGCGGACGAACUUCGCCCACGCCCCCAACAAGGCUAUAGCCCACCCGUUUUUUGGCCAUUUUUCCGCUCGGGUGUCUUGGCGGCCCAACCUUCGGGGGCUAAUUUUUGGGCGCGGCUGUGCCCGUGGCCUAUUUAUGGCACACGGAGGCCGCCCGCAAAGUCUGGGGCCAUUCCGAGUCCGGCGGACGAACUUCGCCCACGCCCCCAACCAGGCUAUAGCCCACCCGUUUUUUGGCCAUUUUUCUGCUGGGGGGUCUUGGCGCCCCGACCUUCGGGGGCUAAUUUUUGGGCGCGGCUGUGACCGUGGCCUAUUUUUGGCACACGGAGGCCGCCCGCAAAGUCUGGGGCCAUUCCGAGUCCGGCGGACGAACUUCGCCCACGCCCCACGCCAAGGCUAUAGCCCACCCGUUUUUUGGCCAUUUUUCCGCUGGGGGGUCUUGGCAGCCCGACCUUCGGGAGCUAAUUUUUGGUCACGGCUGUGCCCGUGGCCUAUUUUUCGCACACGGAGGCCGCCCGCAAAGUCUGGGGCCAUUCCGAGUCCGGCGGACGAACUUCGCCCACGCCCCCCACCAAGGCUAUAGCCCACCCGUUUUUUGGCCAUUUUUCCGCUGGGGGGUCUUGGCGCCCCGACCUUCGGGGGCUAAUUUUUGGGCGCGGCUGUGCCCGUGGCCUAUUUUUGGCACACGGAGGCCGCCCGCAAAGUCUGGGGCCAUUCCGAGUCCGGCGGAUGAACUUCGCCCACGACCCCAACCAGGCUAUAGCCCACCCGUUUUUUGGCCAUUUUUCCGCUGGGGGGUCUUGGCGCCCCGACCUUCGGGGGCUAAUUUUUGGGCGCGGCUGUGCCCGUGGCCUAUUUUUGGCACACGGAGGCCGCCCGCAAAGUCUGGGGCCAUUCCGAGUCCGGCGGACGAACUUCGCCCACGCCCCCAACAAGGCUAUAGCCCACCCGUUUGUUGGCCAUUUUUCCGCUGGGGGGUCUUGGCAGCCCGACCUUCGGGGGCUAAUUUUUUGGCGCGGCUGUGCCCGUGGCCUAUUUUUGGCACACGGAGGCCGCCCGCAAAGUCUGGGGCCAUUCCGUGUCCGGCGGACAAACUUCGCCCACGCCCCCCGCCAAGGCUAUAGCCCACCCGUUUUUUGGCCAUUUUUCCGCUGGGGGGUCUAGGCUCCCCGACCUUCGGGGGCUAAUUUUUGGGCGCGGCUGUGCCCGUGGCCUAUUUUUGGCACACGGAGGCCGCCCGCAAAGUCUGGGUCCAUUCCGAGUCCGGCGGACGAACUUCGCCCACGCCCCCCGCCAAGGCUAUAGCCCACCCGUUUUUUGGCCAUUUUUCCGCUGGGGGGUCUUGGCAGCCCGACCUUCGGGGGCUAAUUUUUGGGCGCGGCUGUGCCCGUGGCCUAUUUUUGGCACACGGAGGCCGCCCGCAAAGUCUGGGGCCAUUCCGAGUCCGGCGGACGAACUUCGCCCACGCCCCCAACAAGGCUAUAGCCCACCCGUUUUUUGGCCAUUUUUCCGCUGGGGUGUCUUGGCGGCCCAACCUUCGGGGGCUAAUUUUUGGGCGCGGCUGUGCCCGUGGCCUAUUUUUGGCACACGGAGGCCGCCCGCAAAUUCUGGGGCCAUUCCGAGUCCGGCGGACGAACUUCGCCCACGCCCCCAACCAGGCUAUAGCCCACCCGUUUUUUGGCCAUUUUUCCGCUGGGGGGUCUUGGCGCCCCGACCUUCGGGGGCUAAUUUUUGGGCGCGGCUGUGACCGUGGCCUAUUUUUGGCACACGGAGGCCGCCCGCAAAGUCUGGGGCCAUUCCGAGUCCGGCGGACGAACUUCGCCCACGCCCCACGCCAAGGCUAUAGCCCACCCGUUUUUUGGCCAUUUUUCCGCUGGGGGGUCUUGGCAGCCCGACCUUCGGGAGCUAAUUUUUGGUCACGGCUGUGCCCGUGGCCUAUUUUUCGCACACGGAGGCCGCCCGCAAAGUCUGGGGCCAUUCCGAGUCCGGCGGACGAACUUCGCCCACGCCCCCAACCAGGCUAUAGCCCACCCGUUUUUUGGCCAUUUUUCCGCUGGGGGGUCUUGGCGGCCCGACCUUCNNNNNNNNNNNNNNNNNNNNNNNNNNNNNNNNNNNNNNNNNNNNNNNNNNNNNNNNNNNNNNNNNNNNNNNNNNNNNNNNNNNNNNNNNNNNNNNNNNNNUCGCCCACGCCCCCCACCAAGGGUAUAGCCCACCCGUUUUUUGGCCAUUUUUCCGCUGGGGGGUCUUGGCGCCCCGACCUUCGGGGGCUAAUUUUUUGGC